rnacentral:rRNA from 1 species
UACGUAGGUGGCGAGCGUUGUCCGGAUUUACUGGGCGUAAAGGGAGCGUAGGCGGACUUUUAAGUGAGAUGUGAAAUACCCGGGCUCAACUUGGGUGCUGCAUUUCAAACUGGAAGUCUAGAGUGCAGGAGAGGAGAAUGGAAUUCCUAGUGUAGCGGUAAAAUGCGUAGAGAUUAGGAAGAACACCAGUGGCGAAGGCGAUUCUCUGGACUGUAACUGACGCUGAGGCUCGAAAGCGUGGGGAGCAAACAGGAUUAGAUACCCCGGUAGU